GUCUCCCUCCCCUCCCCCGUCACACUUAACCCUUUAAUGUGACAUCCGCUUCACAUCUCUGCCUGCCACUCAGAUGACUCGGAGCUACAUGUGUGUGAGUCAGCCUGCACAUGAUACUGAUACCGAGUACAGCUACAGAUAUCUGUUCUUCAUUUAUUAGCAAAUGACAACAGGUAGUUGUUGAAAUGGUUGAGAAAAAAAGGCGGAGGGAUAGUGCCAAGUUGAAAAAUUAUGUCCCACAAGACAUUGCUCACUGACACGCCGAUCAAUAAGAGAUUUUGGAGUGAUAAGCAAAUAACCAACGACCAUUUACAUAAUUCCUCUGGCAUACUUUGUGCAUUCAAUUGUGGGACCAUGUUUUCUUGUAUUAAUUUGAUUAAGGAGAUUCAGACUUCAUUACCAUAUGCAUGAGCUUACGGUUUGCUAAUGGCAUUCGAAAUAAUGGAUCAGAACAAGCUGCCUGGUGAAAUCUUGCCACGGAUCGUGAGCCUACUCCUUAAUGUAGGCUUUGGUGUCUUUAAUGUUCUAGAGCCCAUAAAGGAGCAGGAUCCCAGGCCUUCCUGGCUGAGCUGGCAGAAGCAUAAGGAAAAUGAAAUAUAAGGAAAAAACAAGGGUGCAACGCAACAGAAUUUCCCUUCUCAUCUAAUUAAAUUCCUCUUGGCUGCCUUAAUACUGAUUUUCACCUGCCUCUUUCCUUUGUCCUCUGGCAAUUUUCCCAUCUGUCUUCAAACAAUUCCUGACAUUUCUUAAUUCCAUUUCUCUGUAAAUAUCUGUCUCUGCUUUGAAACCGCUGAAGGACGUGUGCUCUUGCUAAAUGUCUACCUUUCUCCUUGACCCUGUACAGGCCUAUAGACCUUUCAGCGAUACUCAAAGAGAUACAGCCAAGGCCCAGUUCUGUUAGACAAGCCACAUUUGGAGCAUCAUUUUUAGCAUAAUUUACUGUUUGUGCUGGGACAAAAAUAUGUUUGUUUGUUUUUUAAAUUUCUAUGAUCAACUCCAAAAUGUUAUACUUAACCAAAUACUAAUGUUUCCAUAAUCUAAAUACAUAAAUAAAUAGUCUAUAUUUA